CUUUUUUUAUGUUUAUUACAAGUUAUUUUCCCAUAUAGCAGUGUACACCUGCUAUCUUUUCCCUAGACCUUUCAUUUGUCUCCGUCUUGGGUGAGAACUAAGACUAUGAGCUCUGCCCCAUCUCUCCAAAUUACUGUCCCACUGUGCACUCAAAACAGCAAUUGCAUAUGGAAAUCUGAGGUUGCUAGACCCACAUGGCUCCUACUGUUAACUGCUCAGUGCCUGGCAAAGUGGAAGGAACAAAAGUGAAAAUUUUUGACUUUGUGAAAAAUUCUGAAAAACAUGAAUACCUAGUGCAAGCAUGGAGGGGAUUGCUCAAAGGUGAAAAGCAAAAAAAAAAAAAAAAAAAAAAAAAAAGCAGAGAGGCCAAGACGGAGGGCCUCUUUUUGACCAAGGAGAUGGCAAAGAACAGGCUCCCUCUGUCCAGGAAGCUAGCUAAGAGAUCUUCAAAACAGCAAGUAAAGUCUUACAGUGACCUAGGAAACUGCAGAACUGGCUGGGGGCUGCAGGCUGCAGAAGCAGUCGCUAGAAAUACUGAAUGGCAUUGGAAGGUGUGAUCCAUGAAAGCUGCUAUUUGUUCUACACAUCCUUCUCUUGAUGUCUCACUUUAUCAAUAUCAACUGUAAGCUUCAUCAGCCCCAGGGCAGGCUUUGGAGGCAGUCUACCACUGGAACACCCUUCAGCAGCACCUUUGCAUGGCAGUGAAAGCAGCAGUGUUUUGAGCUGAUGUGUGUAGGUACUAUGCUGUUUGAGCCCCCAGAUCUCCUGCCUGGUACCAUGAAGAAAGGCUACUGCAAGCUGCUCGGCUGAAAUGACCCCUGGUACUUUAGACAACACCCUGCCUACUCACGCUGCUGAAACAUUUGAACUCAGAAAAAUAAAGCUGGUGAUGAGACUUGAAGAAACUGAAGUUAGUGUGCCUCUACACUGGUGGCCCCUGUUGUUUUAUUGAUCUUUAUGCGUAUGACAGCCUAUUUAAUAGAUCUUCCCGAGUCCCUGACCUGUGCUGGUGCACUAGCCUAAACUGUGAGCCUGUCUGCUGUGUUUCCAGGAAAUCCUGAAAGUGCUUGCUGGCCAAAACAAGCCCUACACAUCAACGCACAGCCUUCCAUUCCUGUCCUGAUCAAGCCUCUGAACAGUUGCUGAUCUCCUCCUCAAUACAUUUACAUCCAGUUGUCUCCUUUUAAGAAGAAAACAAAACCACAAGAAAAACUAAUAAAGGCAAAACUCAGUCCUCUGUAGCAUGAAAUAGAAAGAUUAUGUGGCCUUCCACAUCAGCGUGCUUUGCUACCCUUUGCAGACCAUGCCAAGCAUUUAAAAGGCUUAGGUAGGGCAUGUGUCUAAAAGAGGCAGGUGAAGAUGAUUGUCUCUUGUAGCUCUCCGGCCCUUGCAGAUACCUACAUGCUUUGUGUGACCCUUAACUUUUGAGGAAAAUGUUGCUUUGGCUGCCUUAAACCUUCUAACCAGCACUUGCUGUCUGUGCUGCAGUUUUCCAGAUGCAUGCAUCGCUAUAGUUUUGAAAGCUGCUUAAGCAUUAUUUAUAGGGUUUUGCACUCCCUUACACUCCAGAAUUCUAAUAAAGGUCUUCAUCAACCAUGUAGUAGUAGUAGGUGGUAAAGGUAGUUCCUCCUUGAAUACGUAUUAUGUUAGCUGUGCUAGCAAGUCAGGCUGUGUUAGUAGGGAAUGUUGGGCGGGUUUGAAGAUUUAGUCAUUGUGAGCUGCUGUAAGCCAUAUGUGUUAGGCAAAUCUAACACAGAUUUCAGACUAGCUGUAGCACAUAGUGAAGGGAAGUACAUCUUUCUGGGCAUGAUUUUGGAACGUGUAUGUUAGGACAGCUAGUGGAAGUAUGGAUUUCACUGAGUGUUGUAGAGGGGCACAGGUGUGCCUACCCAUAGGGCUAUCAGUAGGUGGUAGCCUUUACAACUCCUACUAAAAGUGCCUUUUUAACAGAAACGCAUAUCUUGCUUGCAGCAACUAUUAAGCUAUGGUACCAGGUUGCUCAGCCACCAACAGACUUGUUACCAUGGAGGCAGCCAGAGAGCAGGUAGCCCAUCAGUCCUGAAUGGGUGAUAAGGUUUCCUUGUUCUGCCACUGUCCUGCCACCGUUGUAGCCACUCUGUGUGAGUGUCCUCAGCUGUAUUGUAUGAGCAACACAGGUUUUUGCCAGAAAUGGUGCUACACCAUUCUGUUCUAAGAAGAAUCCUUCCUUCCAAGAGCACUGUCUCGUUGUCCUCAUUUGUUGCUUUGUUUCUGUCCACUUUUUCUUUCUUUUGAUGUCUCUGUAGGGAAGGGCAAAGGAAGUUGUGUUUGUUGCAAUAACUGCAGUUAAAACUUGUUGGCAAUGCAGCAGCGGGCUUGCAAAACUGCAGCUCUCCACUGGUGAAAUGUCCAAAUAUGCUCGUACAAACUGCUUUGUAUUUCUGCCUCUAAGCACUGUAAUGUAAAGUACCUGAAGUUUUGUUAGGAGUUUAAAAAUAAAGCUUAUUCAUGUUC